ACCUCCAUGCGUCGGGCAGACGCCCAGGCAGGGGCAGACGUGACAGGGCAGCUGGCCCUCCCAGGACCCCCACACCGACGUCCACGACAGAGCAGAGGGACUUCCACGUUCCCCGCCUGCAAGUCACCCGCGAGGCCCGUUCCCACCCUCCCCGGGGCCCAGCUGAGCUCAGUAACAGCUCCCCAGUGGAAAGUUCCCUUCUUGGAGAUUCUCUCCCUGCUGAAAUACAAGCACUUGGAAUGAGAUAAAACUGCUUAAUUUGUAAAAGCCACAAAGCCGAUCCAGAACAAGGGAAAAAACCCGACCCUUGGCUGGAAGGCGCGGCCUUCUGUGUCUCAGCGGCCAGUCACUGCUCCGUGACUCAUCCCUGCCCUGCUGACAAGCCCUCCGGCAUCUUCUCGGGGUGGGGGUGGGGGUGGGGGAGCAGGCAGCCCCUGAGGGGGCCGGGGGUGCCCCCCCACCCCCCCACUGAGGAGGACCCCGGGCCCCGGACUCACACACCGGGCAGGGGCCCAGCGGGGCCGGGAGAGGGAGCGAGCAGACGUGAGGGUCCCGCGGCUGUCCGCACCUGCCCCAAGCCCCUCCCCUUCCCCAGCGACCCCUCCUGGACAGAACCGGGCAGUGGCCGAAGGCCCACCUUAACCACCAGCCCCCGGGUAUGAGCGGAGGAGCCCUGUCUGGAAGGCCCGGGUGGGGCGCUGGGCCAGGCAGGCGCCUCUGCCCGGUGUGGACUGAGACAGCUGUCACAACCGCCUAACGGCAAGACGCGGGGACGUGUCCGGCGAGAAGGAAGGAGGGUUCAGGGCCCCCCCAGAACAGACUCGGAGGCCCCAUCGGCAGUGGGGCGCUGCCUCCGGCCACGCUGGCCCAACUCUUUCAGCUGACAGGAUCGGUUCUCACGCCACCCCGACGGCUCUGUGCCCGCUCCGUGGGGACCGCCAGUGAAAACGACCCGUCUUUGAAAGGCUGGACCCACAAGGGGAGCAGGGAGUGGUCCAGACCCGCGAGGCCCCGCUGCCCCAGGACCAGCAGCCAUCUGCCCUCACUCUGUGCCCUGACGUGACAUCAGCGACUCUGCUGAGGAAUCUGAGCCGAGCCCACGUCUGCUCAUCCUCCUGGCCUGACGCGUCCCUCAGUGACCCUGGAAGACUGCCACUCCCCACCCCGUUGCAGGGUUCCCAGGUGAGUAGGGGCUCCAAUGACACCAGUCACCUGGGUUAAUGCCCCAAGCUUCCAGGGAACAGGACCAGGUCUGUCAGCUGUGUGCGGGCGUGCGCGUGUGUGUGUGCGCGCGCGCACACACACACACACACACACACACACACACGUCUGCAUGUCUGCCCUGAGCCCCGGGAGCUCCACCCCGGCAAUCAGCUCCUGGGAAGGCACCAAAAGGCUAUUUCAAGGAGGAGACCACGGCGGCCUUGAAGACGGACUUUGGCUGGCAGCAAAAACACAAACCACACGGGGGACGAACCAACCAACUAGCGACCCAGAGCCGAGCACUGGCCGCGGGUCCCCCCACCCUUUGCCGGGGAGCUCGGCGCCAACGUCCCCGUCCCUGCGCCCGGCGUCUCGGGACGCAGAAGUGGCACGCUGGGAACCGAGGGGGAGAAGGAUCAGGGAAGCAGAGCGGGCUUGAAAUAAAAGCCAGACUUCGUGAAGCUCGGCUCUGGGAACACCGCGUCCCACGACCUCAGAACAGCCAAAAGGAAAGAAAUAUGUCCACAGAAAUGAAUCCCAGUGACCCCUGGGUGCUGACUUCCCGAAGCAGCGACCCAGCUCUGAGUUAGGGGAGGGGCGGCGAGCGGCCUACCUGUGAUCCGGUCUCUCUCCAUUACUACGGAUAUAUUUAGCAGCAGGCGGGAGUCCUGGCGUCCCCCUUUCCAGAGGCUUCCUCCCCUUCUCACCCCCGACGCCCUCCCUCCUUCUGCCUCCUCCUUCUCCUCCUCCUCCUCCUCCUCCUCCUCC